GACGAACGCUGGCGGCGUGCUUAACACAUGCAAGUCGAACGGAAAGGCCCUGCUUGCAGGGUACUCGAGUGGCGAACGGGUGAGUAACACGUGGGUGAUCUGCCCUGCACUUCGGGAUAAGCCUGGGAAACUGGGUCUAAUACCGGAUAGGAGCCAUUUUUAGUGUGAUGGUUGGAAAGUUUUUUUCGGUGUAGGAUGAGCUCGCGGCCUAUCAGCUUGUUGGUGGGGUAAUGGCCUACCAAGGCGGCGACGGGUAGCCGGCCUGUGAGGGUGGACGGCCCCAUUGGGACUGAGAGACGGCCCAGACUCCUACGGGAGGCAGCAGUGGGGAAUAUUGCACAAUGGGCGCAAGCCUGAUGCAGCGACGCCGCGUGGGGGAUGACGGCCUUCGGGUUGUAAACUCCUUUCGCUAGGGACGAAGCUUUUUGUGACGGUACCUAGAUAAGAAGCACCGGCUAACUACGUG
rnacentral:rRNA from 1 species